rnacentral:rRNA from 1 species
ACUCCUGCGGGAGGCAGCAGUGGGGAAUUUUGGACAAUGGGCGAAAGCCUGAUCCAGCAAUGCCGCGUGAGUGAAGAAGGCCUUCGGGUUGUAAAGCUCUUUUGUCAGGGAAGAAACGGUGAAAGCUAAUAUCUUUUGCUAAUGACGGUACCUGAAGAAUAAGCACCGGCUAACUACGUGCCAGCAGCCGCGGUAAUACGUAGGGUGCAAGCGUUAAUCGGAAUUACUGGGCGUAAAGCGUGCGCAGGCGGUUUUGUAAGUCUGAUGUGAAAUCCCCGGGCUCAACCUGGGGAUUGCAUUGGAGACUGCAAGGCUAGAAUCUGGCAGAGGGGGGUAGAAUUCCACGUGUAGCAGUGAAAUGCGUAGAUAUGUGGAGGAACACCGAUGGCGAAGGCAGCCCCCUGGGUCAAGAUUGACGCUCAUGCACGAAAGCGUGGGGAGCAAACAGGAUUAGAUACCCGGGUAGUCCCAUGAU